rnacentral:rRNA from 1 species
UGGGGAAUUUUGGACAAUGGGCGAAAGCCUGAUCCAGCAAUGCCGCGUGUGUGAAGAAGGCCUUCGGGUUGUAAAGCACUUUUGUCCGGAAAGAAAUCCUUGGCUCUAAUACAGUCGGGGGAUGACGGUACCGGAAGAAUAAGCACCGGCUAACUACGUGCCAGCAGCCGCGGUAAUACGUAGGGUGCAAGCGUUAAUCGGAAUUACUGGGCGUAAAGUGUGCGCAGGCGGUUUGCUAAGACCGAUGUGAAAUCCCCGGGCUCAACCUGGGAACUGCAUUGGUGACUGGCAGGCUAGAGUAUGGCAGAGGGGGGUAGAAUUCCACGUGUAGCAGUGAAAUGCGUAGAGAUGUGGAGGAAUACCGAUGGCGAAGGCAGCCCCCUGGGCCAAUACUGACGCUCAUGCACGAAAGCGUGGGGAGCAAAGCAGGAUUAGAUACCCCUGGUAGUCCACGCCCUAAAACGAUGUCAACUAGUUGUUGGGGAUUCAUUUUCCUUAGUAACGUAGCUAACGCGUGAAGUUGACCGCC